rnacentral:rRNA from 1 species
UACGGAGGAUGCAAGCGUUAUCCGGAAUGAUUGGGCGUAAAGCGUCCGCAGGUGGCUGUGUAAGUCUGCUGUCAAAGAGCGAAGCUCAACUUCGUAAAGGCAGUGGAUACUACACGGCUAGAGUGCGUUCGGGGCAGAGGGAAUUCCUGGUGUAGCGGUGAAAUGCGUAGAGAUCAGGAAGAACACCGGUGGCGAAGGCGCUCUGCUAGGCCGCAACUGACACUGAGGGACGAAAGCUAGGGGAGCGAAUGGG